rnacentral:lncRNA from 1 species
GCAUUGGAUGACUUGAAAUAAAUGAAAGCCCAAAGCCCAAACAACACAAAGAGGGCCGGCCAUAUUAAGUGGGGAAGGAGAGAAAAUUAGUCAAGUGUUGACUAGGUUUCUUUUGUCUAUAUAAGCAACUUUAUAGAGAUAAAGUUCAUUAGGGUUUUUGUGUGUUAAAACAACAAAGAGGCAAAAGAAAAAGAGCUCUCUAAACUACACAAAGGCCGGCCACCAAAGGGGGUUUUUACUAACCUCUCUUACACCCUUUUGGUUAUUCCUUCAUCCUUCUCACUACACUAGUGGGUGAUGAUCUUUAGAGGUUUCCUACUUUGGGAACUUGAAGAGAACCUAGGAGCACUCAUUGUAACAAAGUGGAGGAGGCAAGGAGGGAAGCUAGGCUCAAGGAUUUCAAGGAGCAAAGGGCUUGGAGGUGGUCCAUCCUUGGUCUCAAGUCUAGAUCAAGAGGUAUAAAAGACUAACCUUCUCUUUGUUCUUGAUUCUUUAAAUGUUUUGAUGCAUUAUAUAUAAACCUAUGAACCUUGAAGGGGAUUUGCAUAACUAUAGCUUUGAUAAUAUGUUAUAAAUGCUUCCGCUGCUUUCGUAUAUUAAAUUUGAUUUGGAUAUGCAUGAUAGUCAUUAUGAAAUCCCAUUCUAGAAAUCUCAUAAAUUUCCCUUCAUCCUAUGGCUAGGAACGUUUUAGGAAUGAACAUAAGAGAAAGGUCUCGAUAAUCUAACUCACUUAGAUCACUUAUCUCUUAGAACAAAUACAUUCCUUGGAUUCUCUUAUUGCUUAAACACAUGAUACAAUAAAUAGUGAUUAACAAUAAGAUUUGCCCUUCAUUAAACAUAUAAAAGUUUAAUACAUUAAGUAUUCCAAAAAACUAUUACAUCAAAUGAGUGGCUUUGUGGGCAUACUUCCAACAAUCUCCCACUUGCACUCAAAGCCAUCCUCCCAUGUAUCUAAUACCCAUCCUUUCCAUAUGACGGUCAAGCUGGAUCUGAGACAUUGGCUUUGUCAGUGGAUCUGCUACGUUAUCGGCUGAAGCAACUUUGAGGAUGUUAACUUUCCCCUCGGCAGCAUAUCUUCUAAUGAUAUUAAAGCGUCUGUCAAAAUGCUUGUUCUUUUGAUG